rnacentral:rRNA from 1 species
GGUGAACGCUGGCGGCGUGCCUAAUACAUGCAAGUCGAGCGAACAGACGAGGAGCUUGCUCCUCUGACGUUAGCGGCGGACGGGUGAGUAACACGUGGAUAACCUACCUAUAAGACUGGGAUAACUUCGGGAAACCGGAGCUAAUACCGGAUAAUAUAUUGAACCGCAUGGUUCAAUAGUGAAAGACGGUUUUGCUGUCACUUAUAGAUGGAUCCGCGCCGCAUUAGCUAGUUGGUAAGGUAACGGCUUACCAAGACAACGAUGCGUAGCCGACCUGAGAGGGUGAUCGGCCACACUGGAACUGAGACACGGUCCAGACUCCUACGGGAGGCAGCAGUAGGGAAUCUUCCGCAAUGGGCGAAAGCCUGACGGAGCAACGCCGCGUGAGUGAUGAAGGUCUUCGGAUCGUAAAACUCUGUUAUUAGGGAAGAACAAAUGUGUAAGUAACUAUGCACGUCUUGACGGUACCUAAUCAGAAAGCCACGGCUAACUACGUG